rnacentral:rRNA from 1 species
GGCGAACGGGUGAGGAACACGUGAGGAACCUGCCCCGGACUUUGGGAUAACAGUUGGAAACGAUUGCUAAUACCGAAUACCGCUACGGAGUGGCAUCACUUCGUAACGAAAGAAUUUCGGUCCGGGAGGGUCUCGCGGCCUAUCAGCUAGUUGGUGGGGUAACGGCCUACCAAGGCAUCGACGGGUAGCUGGUCUGAGAGGAUGAUCAGCCACACUGGGACUGAGACACGGCCCAGACUCCUACGGGAGGCAGCAGUGGGGAAUCUUGUGCAAUGGGCGAAAGCCUGACACAGCAACGCCGCGUGCGGGAAGAAGGCCUUCGGGUCGUAAACCGCUUUCAGCAGGAACGAAAAUGACGGUACCUGCAGAAGAAGGUGCGGCCAACUACGUGCCAGCAGCCGCGGUGACACGUAGGCACCAAGCGUUGUCCGGAUUUAUUGGGCGUAAAGAGCUCGUAGGCGGUUCAGCAAGUCGGGUGUGAAAACUCUGGGCUCAACCCAGAGCCUGCACCCGAAACUGCUGUGACUAGAGUUCGGUAGGGGAGCGGGGAAUUCCUGGUGUAGCGGUGAAAUGCGCAGAUAUCAGGAGGAACACCGGUGGCGAAGGCGCCGCUCUGGGCCGAAACUGACGCUGAGGAGCGAAAGCGUGGGUAGCAAACAGGAUUAGAUACCCUGGUAGUCCACGCCGU